ACNUGCAGUCGAGCGAAUCGAUGGGAGCUUGCUCCCUGAGAUUAGCGGCGGACGGGUGAGUAACACGUGGGCAACCUGCCUAUAAGACUGGGAUAACUUCGGGAAACCGGAGCUAAUACCGGAUACGUUCUUUUCUCGCAUGAGAGAAGAUGGAAAGACGGUUUCGGCUGUCACUUAUAGAUGGGCCCGCGGCGCAUUAGCUAGUUGGUGAGGUAAUGGCUCACCAAGGCGACGAUGCGUAGCCGACCUGAGAGGGUGAUNNNCCNNACUGGGACUGAGACACGGCCCAAACUCNUACGGGAGGCAGCAGUAGGGAAUCUUCCGCAAUGGACGAAAGUCUGACGGAGCAACGCCGCGUGAACGAAGAAGGCCUUCGGGUCGUAAAGUUCUGUUGUUAGGGAAGAACAAGUACCAGAGUAACUGCUGGUACCUUGACGGUACCUAACCAGAAAGCCACGGCUAACUACGUGCCAGCAGCCGCGGUAAUACGUAGGUGGCAAGCGUUGUCCGGAAUUAUUGGGCGUAAAGCGCGCGCAGGUGGUUCNUUAAGUCUGAUGUGAAAGCCCACGGCUCAACCGUGGAGGGUCAUUGGAAACUGGGGAACUUGAGUGCAGAAGAGGAAAGUGGAAUUCCAAGUGUAGCGGUGAAAUGCGUAGAGAUUUGGAGGAACACCAGUGGCGAAGGCGACUUUCUGGUCUGUAACUGACACUGAGGCGCGAAAGCGUGGGNAGCAAACAGGAUUAGAUACCCUGNUAGUCCACGCCGUAAACGAUGAGUGCUAAGUGUUAGAGGNNUNCCGCCCUUUAGUGCUGCAGCUAACGCAUUAAGCACUCCGCCUGGGGAGUACGGCCGCAAGGCUGAAACUCAAAGGAAUUGACGCGNCCCCGCACAAGCGNNNNNNNUUGUGGUUUAAUUCGAAGCAACGCGAAA
rnacentral:rRNA from 1 species